UACGUAGGGUCCGAGCGUUGUCCGGAAUUACUGGGCGUAAAGAGCUCGUAGGUGGUUUGUCGCGUUGUUCGUGAAAACUCACAGCUUAACUGUGGGCGUGCGGGCGAUACGGGCAGACUUGAGUACUGCAGGGGAGACUGGAGUUCCUGGUGUAGCGGUGGAAUGCGCAGAUAUCAGGAGGAACACCGGUGGCGAAGGCGGAUCUCUGGGCCUUGCCUGACGCUGAGGCGCGAAAGCUAGGGGAGCGAACAGG
rnacentral:rRNA from 1 species